GAUGAACGCUGGCGGCGUGCCUAAUACAUGCAAGUCGAGCGAACGGACGAGAAGCUUGCUUCUCUGAUGUUAGCGGCGGACGGGUGAGUAACACGUGGAUAACCUACCUAUAAGGCUGGGAUAACUUCGGGAAACCGGAGCUAAUACCGGAUAAUAUUUUGAACCGCAUGGUUCAAAAGUGAAAGACGGUCUUGCUGUCACUUAUAGAUGGAUCCGCGCUGCAUUAGCUAGUUGGUAAGGUAACGGCUUACCAAGGCAACGAUGCAUAGCCGACCUGAGAGGGUGAUCGGCCACACUGGAACUGAGACACGGUCCAGACUCCUACGGGAGGCAGCAGUAGGGAAUCUUCCGCAAUGGGCGAAAGCCUGACGGAGCAACGCGGCGUGAGUGAUGAAGGUCUUCGGAUCGUAAAACUCUGUUAUUAGGGAAGAACAUAUGUGUAAGUAACUGUGCACAUCUGGACGGUACCUAAUCAGAAAGCCACGGCUAACUACGU
rnacentral:rRNA from 1 species